CCAGUCACCGAUGAGACCCACCGCCCACGGCUGCCACCUCAACUGUUUCUCGCCCUAUUUCCACCUGGCUAACAAGUGAACCAGUUACCUAUUAAUUCACUCCUAUCUCUUUUCAUCCGUACCAAAUCCUUUCUCCAAUUCCUACCAAAAAUUCCCUUUCCCAAAUGGCUCGUCUUCUCUCUAAUAAUUCCCAAAUCCAAACCCUAACCCGAACUUUAACCCGACCCAAAUUCGCCCCACCUCUUGUCCUCACUCUCCGUCACCGUUCAAACUCCAACCGAUCCGGCGACGGCGAUGGUUCCGGCGAAGGAGAACCACCUCACCCUCAGUUAAUCGAGAUCGAUCUCGAUUCCUCCUCUAUCGGAUCGGAAGGCGGAAUAAGGAAGUUAGAAGAGGUGAUCCAUUCGGUUAUCGUGAGACGUUCCGCACCUGAUUGGCUCCCUUUUUUGCCUGGAUACUCUUACUGGGUCCCACCUCUUCCUAAUCAACCGUUUGUGAAAGUAGGAGGAGGUAUACAUGGUCAUAGAGGAGGAGGAGGAGGUGAUUUUGAUCCUCAUAGGAUUGUUGAGGUUGUCGGGAAGCUUGCUUCUGUGAGGAGUCAUUUUGGUUCGUCUUCGUUGUUGUUGUCGGAGGAUGAAACGGCGUGCGUGUCAAGAGUUCGUGGUUGGCCCUCUUCUUCCUUUUUCACUGGAGGAAGUGCACCCACAUUCCCAGUCCCAGUGCAGGUGGUCGAAGUGGAGGUAAAGCUUGAGGACAACGCAGAUUAUGACUCUAAAUCAGAGGACGAAGGCUAAAUGACCUGUCAUCCAUAGAGUGAGCUGUCAUACCAGAACUAGGUCAGGCAUUUCUUGGUCGUCCUAGUCUUCUGGAUGAGGGGGUGAAAUGGAUAAUGGAAAUCUAUCAAAAGAGUUUUGGGGUUGGGAAACUUGAACUGGCUUAGUAACCUUGUAAAUUCUUUGAAAACCUGGAAAACAUAAGAAGCUGCUUACCUAAGAAAUGGCAUGCAAAAGUUACACGUACCAGAGUUUGGGGUCGAAGCUCUUCCAUCCGCCCUCUUGUUCGAUGUAGUGACUCAAUGCUCAGCCUACCUAUAAAAAUCUUGUAUUUAUGGUGUUUGAACUGUAUGAUCUGGAAAAAUAAUCAGCCAGUUAAGUUUAAUGCUCUUUGCUUUUGGUCUAUUGUGUGUUGCCAUGACUUUUAA